GGAAGCCAUCACCUGGAUGCCUACGUGGGAAGGGACCUCGAAUGUGGGACCCCAGCCCCUCUCCAGCUCGAAAUCAAUCUGGGGCUCCAGGCUAUGCCUUGGCUGGACUGAGGUCUGGGGGUGCACUUAUUAUCCCUGGGGACACCUGCUGAAGCUUCUCCCUGACAAGCUGUGUCACUGUUGGAUGAGGAUGGGGCGGGAGGGGUUCAGGGCAGAAGAAGACCGGGAGGGUCUUUCAAAAGAACUCAUGUACGGCUGUUAAAAAAAGUCAGCAGAGGCUCAGGAAGACUUAAAGUGUGCAGAAGGCGGGGAAGGGAGGGCCCAUUGCAUGCACCAAGAGGAAAUUGGAAGGAACAAGCGACGUUGGCUGCUAGGAGAGCCUGCUCCCAACAUCUAGGGGCUGUCCUGACGGGUCACAGUGGGUCGAACUGAGCCAAUGAGAGCAGCUCUGGGGAGACCCACUGGUGCCCUGGAGGCUGGGUGGGUUUGGGUUGGAUGAAUUCUGUGUGUCCUUUUGGAAAUGUGGAGGCCAUGAGGGGGGAUCAGGGCUCUUAGGGUUUUGACCCUUAAGAGUUUUGUAUCUGUAAUUCAAAGGUUCUUUAGUUCUGGGAUGCUGAGAUUCGGGAUAGGGUUCCUAAUGGCACAAAAGCCAGAGAUAAAACAUCCUUCACGUGCUCCCUACCCGGUUCUUUCUGUACCAGACCCACAAGGUCCGAGUUGGGAUCCUAGUGCUCCUGUCUGGUCAGGGCC
rnacentral:lncRNA from 1 species